AACCCAGUGCAAUUCGUUGCACUAUCGUUAACUGAAUACAUAGGUUAACGAGGCGAACCGGGGGAACUGAAACAUCUAAGUACCCCGAGGAAAAGAAAUCAACCGAGAUUCCCCCAGUAGCGGCGAGCGAACGGGGAGCAGCCCAGAGUCUGAAUCAGCUUGUGUGUUAGUGGAACGGUCUGGAAAGUCCGACGGUACAGGGUGAUAGUCCCGUACACCAAAAUGCACAGGCUGUGAACUCGAAGAGUAGGGCGGGACACGUGGUAUCCUGUCUGAAUAUGGGGGGACCAUCCUCCAAGGCUAAAUACUCCUGACUGACCGAUAGUGAACCAGUACCGUGAGGGAAAGGCGAAAAGAACCCCGGCGAGGGGAGUGAAAAAGAACCUGAAACCGUGUACGUACAAGCAGUGGGAGCACCUUCGGGUGUGACUGCGUACCUUUUGUAUAAUGGGUCAGCGACUUAUAUUCUGUAGCAAGGUUAACCGUAUAGGGGAGCCGCAGGGAAACCGAGUCUUAACUGGGCGUUAAGUUGCAGGGUAUAGACCCGAAACCCGGUGAUCUAGCCAUGGGCAGGUUGAAGGUUGGGUAACACUAACUGGAGGACCGAACCGACUAAUGUUGAAAAAUUAGCGGAUGACUUGUGGCUGGGGGUGAAAGGCCAAUCAAACCGGGAGAUAGCUGGUUCUCCCCGAAAGCUAUUUAGGUAGCGCCUCGUGAACUCAUCUUCGGGGGUAGAGCACUGUUUCGGCUAGGGGGUCAUCCCGACUUACCAACCCGAUGCAAACUACGAAUACCGAAGAAUGUUAUCACGGGAGACACACGGCGGGUGCUAACGUCCGUCGUGAAGAGGGAAACAACCCAGACCGCCAGCUAAGGUCCCAAAGUCAUGGUUAAGUGGGAAACGAUGUGGGAAGGCACAGACAGCCAGGAUGUUGGCUUAGAAGCAGCCAUCAUUUAAAGAAAGCGUAAUAGCUCACUGGUCGAGUCGGCCUGCGCGGAAGAUGUAACGGGGCUAAACCAUGCACCGAAGCUGCGGCAGCGACACUAUGUGUUGUUGGGUAGGGGAGCGUUCUGUAAGCCUGCGAAGGUGACCUGUGAGGGUUGCUGGAGGUAUCAGAAGUGCGAAUGCUGACAUAAGUAACGAUAAAGCGGGUGAAAAGCCCGCUCGCCGGAAGACCAAGGGUUCCUGUCCAACGUUAAUCGGGGCAGGGUGAGUCGACCCCUAAGGCGAGGCCGAAAGGCGUAGUCGAUGGGAAACAGGUUAAUAUUCCUGUACUUGGUGUUACUGCGAAGGGGGGACGGAGAAGGCUAUGUUAGCCGGGCGACGGUUGUCCCGGUUUAAGCAUGUAGGCUGAUUAUCCAGGCAAAUCCGGAUAAUCAAGGCUGAGGUGUGAUGACGAGGCACUACGGUGCUGAAGUAACAAAUGCCCUGCUUCCAGGAAAAGCCUCUAAGCAUCAGGUAACAUCAAAUCGUACCCCAAACCGACACAGGUGGUCAGGUAGAGAAUACCAAGGCGCUUGAGAGAACUCGGGUGAAGGAACUAGGCAAAAUGGUGCCGUAACUUCGGGAGAAGGCACGCUGGUGUGUAGGUGAAGUCCCUGCGGAUGGAGCUGAGACCAGUCGAAGAUACCAGCUGGCUGCAACUGUUUAUUAAAAACACAGCACUGUGCAAACACGAAAGUGGACGUAUACGGUGUGACGCCUGCCCGGUGCCGGAAGGUUAAUUGAUGGGGUUAUCCGUAAGGAGAAGCUCUUGAUCGAAGCCCCGGUAAACGGCGGCCGUAACUAUAACGGUCCUAAGGUAGCGAAAUUCCUUGUCGGGUAAGUUCCGACCUGCACGAAUGGCGUAAUGAUGGCCAGGCUGUCUCCACCCGAGACUCAGUGAAAUUGAACUCGCUGUGAAGAUGCAGUGUACCCGCGGCAAGACGGAAAGACCCCGUGAACCUUUACUAUAGCUUGACACUGAACAUUGAGCCUUGAUGUGUAGGAUAGGUGGGAGGCUUUGAAGCGUGGACGCCAGUCUGCGUGGAGCCAACCUUGAAAUACCACCCUUUAAUGUUUGAUGUUCUAACGUUGGCCCCUGACCGGGGUUGCGGACAGUGUCUGGUGGGUAGUUUGACUGGGGCGGUCUCCUCCCAAAGCGUAACGGAGGAGCACGAAGGUUAGCUAAUCCUGGUCGGACAUCAGGAGGUUAGUGCAAUGGCAUAAGCUAGCUUGACUGCGAGCGUGACGGCGCGAGCAGGUGCGAAAGCAGGUCAUAGUGAUCCGGUGGUUCUGAAUGGAAGGGCCAUCGCUCAACGGAUAAAAGGUACUCCGGGGAUAACAGGCUGAUACCGCCCAAGAGUUCAUAUCGACGGCGGUGUUUGGCACCUCGAUGUCGGCUCAUCACAUCCUGGGGCUGAAGUAGGUCCCAAGGGUAUGGCUGUUCGCCAUUUAAAGUGGUACGCGAGCUGGGUUUAGAACGUCGUGAGACAGUUCGGUCCCUAUCUGCCGUGGGCGCUGGAGAAUUGAGGGGGGCUGCUCCUAGUACGAGAGGACCGGAGUGGACGCAUCACUGGUGUUCGGGUUGUCAUGCCAAUGGCACUGCCCGGUAGCUAAAUGCGGAAGAGAUAAGUGCUGAAAGCAUCUAAGCACGAAACUUGCCCCGAGAUGAGUUCUCCCUGAGACUUUAAGUCUCCUGAAGGAACGUUAAAGACGAUGACGUUGAUAGGCCGGGUGUGUAAGCGCAGCGAUGCGUUGAGCUAACCGGUACUAAUGAACCGUGAGGCUUAACCUU
rnacentral:rRNA from 1 species